GGGCGAAUAGCUCAGCAGGCGAGAGCGUCUCCCUUACAAGGAGAAGGCCACCCGUUCAAAUCGGGUUUCGCCCA
rnacentral:tRNA from 1 species